AGAAUCAACGCUGGCGGCGUGCCUAACACAUGCAAGUCGCACGAGAAAGGGGAGCAAUCCCUGAGUACAGUGGCGCACGGGUGAGUAACACGUGAAUUAUCUACCUCCGAGUGGGGAAUAACUGAGAGAAAUCUUAGCUAAUACCGCAUAACACUUACGAGUCAAAGCAGCAAUGCGCUUGGAGAGGAGUUCGCGGCCGAUUAGUUAGUUAGCGGGGUAAUGGCCCACCAAGACGAUGAUCGGUAUCCGGCCUGAGAGGGCGCACGGACACACUGGAACUGAAACACGGUCCAGACUCCUACGGGAGGCAGCAGUGGGGAAUUUUGCGCAAUGGGGGAAACCCUGACGCAGCAACGCCGCGUGGAGGAUGAAGCCCCUUGGGGUGUAAACUCCUUUCGAUCGGGAAGAUAAUGACGGUACCGAUAUAAGAAGCCCCGGCUAACUUCGCGCCAGCAGCCGC
rnacentral:rRNA from 1 species